UACGGAGGAUGCAAGCGUUAUCCGGAAUCAUUGGGCGUAAAGCGCCUGUAGGUUGUUUAAUAAGUCUGUUGUUAAAGACUAGGGCUCAACCCUAGAAAAGCAAUGGAAACUACUAGACUAGAGUAUGGCAGGGGUAGAGGGAAUUUCUAGUGUAGCGGUGAAAUGCGUAGAUAUUAGAAAGAACACCGGUGGCGAAAGCGCUCUACUGGACCAUUACUGACACUCAGAGGCGAAAGCUAGGGUAGCAAAAGGGAUUAGAUACCCCUGUAGUCCUAGCCGUAAACGAUGGAUACUAGAUGUUGUGAUUUAUUUACAGUGUCCUUGCUAACGCGUUAAGUAUCCCGCCUGGGGAGUACGCUCGCAAGGGUG
rnacentral:rRNA from 1 species